UAUCUCAGCCAGCCCUUUGAUCAUCCCUCAUGAGUCACCUUCAUUAACUGGUGCUGAAAGCUUCUGCAAAGGCGCCUGAAGAUGCUCCUGUUUUAGUGCUAGGAACAUGAUUUGUAUUAAACAAGAAGAUGGCGGGUAUGCUACUACCAAAGCUAAGAAACCCAAAAUUCUUUUGGUUUUAAAAUAAUGUCUUCCUUUCAAUUAACCAUUUGUUGAUGGAUACACACAUUUUAUGUGCAUCUGUCCAUGUCUUCGUGAUUAUUUUCUUUCAGGUGGUUAUGACCUUUCCAAUUCCAAUCACGCUUUAACUCCAUCUUCUUGAGUCAGGCACCCCCUCCAAUGGAAAACAGAUGUCUGACUCAGUAGUCCUUUUCUCUUUAUUGUUUGGUGUCAUUGUUUCAUGCAAAGCUGUGUUUUGCAAAUAAUGAUGAACUAUUAGAUUGAUGGAUGUCCUUAGAUUGAUGAAUAUCCUUUUGGUUGAGAUGGUUCAGAGCUUCAUGAUACAAAAAACUGUUGGGAAACUAGCAUCUUAUAAUAGUCUUGAUGUGUGUACGUGCUAGAUCUUUAAAGUGGACGAACAAGGGGAUUUUCUGGUUGGUGGGAUUCAACUUACAACUUAGGGGAUUUGUUGCUCUGGAAAGGGGACAUAGAAGAAGUCAAAGCACCUCUAAAUAUGUGUUGAUCUAGCCAAUUUCAGGUCAGUUGUGAUUGAAAUCUAACUGAUCCUUUAAGGACAUAUCUACUUGCCCUGAACUCCGAUCCUUGACAGAUGUUGAUGUUCAACAUCUUGUUCUUUAAUAUUAAGAUUGGUCUCAAAUGUCCUUAUACACAAAUUAACUUUAAAGUUGUUGCCUAUGGUCAUAAGAAAUGGUGCCAGGCAGCACUCCAGGUAUAAUAAGUGACUUGUCCUCUUGUUAUAUACUCAUGAGCCUCAAAUUCUCUUCCAUGGACCAAUUUAUUGAUAUUCACUGCAGGCUUUCAAUUUGAUUUUCUCACUAGAAAUUUGGAAAUGAUCUUUCUUCCCAAUGAAACAGUACCCCAUGGUUCUCCCCUUGGAAGACAGUGGCAAAGACACAGACCAUCUUGAUAUAUGAACAAUCACAAUAGUUCUAACCAACUUUGCAUCUAGUAACUCCUAAUAUCUUCAUACACUGCAAUAAUUUAUAUCCUAAAUGUACAGCCACUACUAUGUACAGGUGUGUUCAUUAUUUUCUUCUUUCCACCCUAUAAUUAACUUCAUUCUUCUUCAGGUCAAACCAAUCACAUGUUAUCAGUCAGAUAUGUAUACCAUUGCCCAUGAAAAUUAACUGACACCAUGGGGCUGCUGCCACUAAUAUUAUAGUAGCUGCCACCACUUUUCUAAUAGAAGUCCUUCCGUUUCGUCUAUGACUAUGAAUUGAAUGAAUAUAGAAAAGGGAUGAAAUCAAGAAAAAGAGCGAAGAAUUCAAAGAAACGAAUGGUUCGGAACAAAGAAAUGGGGAAGAACGAAAGUCGUAUGGAUUCACAAAGAUGCCAUGUAUAGGAACCAAAAAAGAAAUAUCGAAAUAGUUCUGAUGAUUCAAUAAUAUUAUUACUUCAAUUCAGAACCCUAAUGAACCUAAAAAAAGGAUAAAGGCACUGGUUUAGAUCAAUCUUAACCGGAUGAUUAUGAAUUACCCCCAUUUUAUUUAAUUUAAUGAAAAUGAAA